rnacentral:rRNA from 1 species
UACGUAGGUGGCAAGCGUUGUCCGGAUUUACUGGGCGUAAAGAGCGCGCAGGCGGUCGUUCAAGUCGCGUGUGAAAGCCCCCGGCUCAACUGGGGAGGGUCACGCGAUACUGAUCGACUCGAAGGCAGGAGAGGGAAGUGGAAUUCCAGGUGUAGCGGUGAAAUGCGUAGAUAUCUGGAGGAAUACCGGUGGCGAAGGCGGCAUCCUGGACCGACAUUGACGCUGAUGAGCGAAAGCUAGGGGAGCAAACGGG